rnacentral:lncRNA from 1 species
AGGGCCAUAUUUUUCAUAUUGAAAUUUAUAACCACACUUUUAUACAAACCACAAACCUUUUCAUUACUACUCACAUCAAAAUGGAGAUCUCAAAAGAAGACAGAAACUUAGAUGAACUAGGCCGUACUCAAGGCCCCUCUCAUAAUUGUCUUCUUCUUCCAAAAAUCCUUUUCUUCAGAUCUCACCUCCGAGUUCUCCUUCUCGGAUUCCUCCUCCUCAGCUCUUCAGCGGGGUCCUGAAAUGGUUUCCCCAAACUGGGAUGAGACUACGUCUCAGCGAGUUCUACCCCACUAAGCCCGAUUAGAUAAACUAUUAUACUAAAGGCUGCCUAAACACGCACAGGGCAGAGGACUUACCUUGGCCUCAGAUCUCACCUGCAAGUCAGUACAAUUCAUAAUAGGCACCCAAGCAAUCAUAUGACCGAUCGGAGCAUCGAUCAAAUCGACCUAGUCGAUUACAUGCCAAACAAAUCAAUCCCCACUGUGGGAUAUUUAAAAACUAGGCCACGUGUAUUCUCCAGGAUGACCUUCCCAGUCUCCGAGUCACGUGCCUCGAACCUUGGGCCCACGUGCAUUCUCUCAGGCGACCUUUUCGCCAAAGUGAUGCAUCAAGUCACCGAGACCACGUGCCCUUUUAGAUGCCCGGGCCCACGUGCAUUCUCUUAGGUGCAUCUCACCAAAGCGAUGCAUCAAUUCGCCGAGACCACGUGCCCUUUUAGAUGCCAUUCCGGAAUGCUGGACCCACGUGCAUUCUCUAAGGUACUCGCUUACCAAAGUGACGCAUCAGAUCACCGAGCCACGUGUCCUUUUAGAUGCCAAAUCCUGUCACCGAGCCACGUGCAUUCUCCAGGACGACAUACCGAGUCUCCGAGCCACGUGCAUUCUCUCAGGCGACCUUUUCGCCAAGGUGACAUAUUCAACCACUGAACUCACGUGCAUUCUCCAGGUGACAUUCCAAUUCACCGGGCACACGUGUCCUCUUUCAAGUGGUCACCAAAUCUACUUUCAACACCGAUAACCAAUGCCCAACGAUUUCUCAAUCAAAUAAUUAAAUCAACUCCACAAAGCAUUAUAGAUACUGAAUAACAUACUUGGCCAUUCACCAAUCGAUAAUUCAAUCUCAAUCGAUUCCAAUCAAUUUAGGGUAAAUCCCCAAAAUAUCACAAUUUAUUCAAUUCCAUACAACGUGGAGCUCAAAUAAAUAAACGGGCUGCGCCACGACGAUCGGCACGAGAUUUCGGUCGUCGGCCAUCAAAAUCUUAAUUUCUGAAAAAUAAUUAAUUUAUUUAUUAAUUUCGAAAAUUAAAUAAUUAUUAUUAAAAAUUCAAUUUAGCUCAAAAUAAAGCCCGAUUACAUAAAUGGACUUCACCACGGUCAUCAGCACAAUAUUCCGGUUCCGAGCCACCUCAGUUGAAUUUUUGAAAAAUAAAUAAUUAUUUAAUUUAAUUCCGAAAAUUAAUAUUUAAAUACAAAAAUAUCCACUUAGGCCCGAAAAGCCUAAUUGGAGCCCACUAAGGGUCGGGAAAAAUCCCGAGGCACUUCCAAUAAUUAGUAGACCACGUCUACUUGCUAAUUACACAAUCAAUUUAUCUAAAUCACAUCACAAUUGACUAAUAAUUGCUAAUUUAUUCUAAUCUAACAACCUAAAUAUAAUUAAUUAAAUCUAAACCAGCUUAAAGCAUAAUUAGCCACUAAUCCUGGAUUAGUGAGAUUACUCACCAAAUCGCUCGCAAAUCGGAUCAAUCCGACGGCGGCGACGCGAGGAACGAUUGUUCCCAAAGCACGGCUCGGGUUCGGGGCCGGGAAACGGUCCAAAAGCGGGCCCGAAGAUGCUGAAACCCACUACGUGGGUCUGCUGGACGGAGCCGAUCGGGCCUGCUCCGGCGGCUAGGGCGGCGAGGGAAAGCCGGCGGAGGGCGAGGGGGUUGCGGGGGAGGUCCGGCGGGGUUGGCGGUGGCCGGAGGUGGCCGGAGGUGGCCGGAGAUGGGCUGGUCGGAGCUGGAACAGAAGCGAACAGCAGCUGGGUCCGCUCGGGGGAAGCGCUGCAGCGAGCGACGGACGGCGGGAAGGCGGGCGCACGGGCGGGCGGCUGUCGCGGGCGUGCGAGCGGCGGUGCGGCGGUGGGACGGGCGGCGACGGUGCAGCGACGGCGAGCUGCUGUCUCCGUUUUUCUGCUUCUGGUUUUCGCUUGCUUCAGCGUGCGGAGGAAGGAAGAAGAAGAAGAAAGAGAGAGAGAGAGAGAGAGAGAGAGAGAGAUAAGGUUGGACCGGUCAAAGAAGAGAGAGGGAAAGUGGGCGGUGGGAAUUCGCACGAGGGGGAGGGGGAAAAAGGGGAGAGGAGAGAGAAAGAAAAAGGAAAAGAAAGAAAAGAAAAGAGAGGGAGAGAGAGGAAAAAGGAAAGGGAAAUACAUAAUUCUUUUAUGCAAAUUUUCCUUUUCACUUUUCCUUUUCUUUUGGGCUUCAAUUUUUCUUCCGAUAAUUUCUUUCUUGAAAUUUCGGACUCGUCAAUAAAUUGACGAGCGAUGAGACAGGAUCCUAAAAAUAAGAAUUAUGACGCGCUUAAAAUUCGAUUCCCGAAAUCGAGUUCAAUUUCGUGGUUAAAAAUCGAUCGGACGUGAUUUUAGCUCAAUCUAACCAAUUAGGUAGCUUUUAGGGAUUUUACAGCUGAUACAUCCCUUAACGGCUUCACCCAAUAGGUUAGUUAACUCGUGAGUGAUCAGCUCAAAGAAAAAGGUCAUAGGCACGCCGACGAAAUGCCCAUUUCACUUUAUCGAAACGAGGUCGAAUUUCAGGAUGUCACAACUCUUCCCCUCUUAUAAAAAUUUCGUCCUCGAAAUUUAAACCAUUACACUUUGCUCAAAAAGGUGGGGGUACAACUGUCUCAUCGAUUCUUCAGUCUCCCAAGUCGCUCCUUCAAUGCCGUGGUGUUGCCAGACCACUUUGACCAACGGGAUGGUCUUUGUACGCAGAACUUGCUCUUUGCGAUCGACAAUUUGAACCGGGCUUUCAACGUAUGACACACGGUCAUCCACGUCCAAUUCCUCAAAAUUGAGCACGUGGGUCGAGUCAGGCUCGUACUUCCUUAACAUCGACACGUGAAAGACGUCAUGCACUUGCGCCAAUCUUGGCGGCAACGCAAGACGAUACGCUAGGUUUCCGAUUCUUUCAAGAAUCUCAAACGGACCUACGUACCUCGGACUCAGUUUGCCUUUCUUACCAAAGCGCGAAGUUCCCCUCAUUGGUGACACUUUUAGAAAAACGUGAUCACCAACUUGGAAUUCCAAAGACCUUCGACGCUUAUCUGCAUAACUUUUCUGCCUGCUCUGCGCUGUCUUCAAUCUGUCUCUGAUCACUGCCACGGCAUCUACUGAUUGCUGAACCAACUCUGGGCCUGUUAUCUUCCUUUCUCCGACGUCAUCCCAACACACUGGAGUUCUGCACACUCUGCCAUACAAUGCUUCAAAUGGAGCCAUCUUGAUGCUCUGUUGAUAACUGUUGUUGUAGGCGAAUUCCACCAGAUGAAGCUGAUCCUCCCAACUUCCUUUGAAGUCUACAACACAUGCUCUCAGCAUGUCUUCAAGAGUCUGAAUUGUCCUUUCAGACUGGCCAUCCGUCUGAGGAUGAUAUGCCGUACUGUACUGAAGCUUUGUACCUAAAGCACUCUGCAAGCUUUUCCAAAAAGCAGCAGUAAACCUCGGAUCUCUAUCAGAUGUUAUCGUAACCGGCACUCCAUGCAUACGAACCACCUGACGCACAUACAGGUCUGCGUGUCUAUCCAGACUCAGGUCCUUUCGAACUGCAAUAAAGUGAGCCGACUUUGUCAACCUGUCGACUACUACCCAAAUCGAAUCAUUUCCCCUUUGACUCCUUGGUAGUCCAGUCACGAAGUCCAUCGUGAUAUGCUCCCAUUUCCACUCUGGGAUCGCGAGAGGUUGCAAAAGUCCUCCCGGCUUGCAAUGCUGGGCUUUUACUUGCUGACAAGUCAAACACUUGGCCACAUGCUUGGCAAUGUCCGCCUUCAUACCUGACCACCAGUAGUGUUGACGCAAAUUCUGAUACAUCUUAGUGCUUCCGGGAUGAACGCUGUAAUUGCUACGAUGUGCUUCAGAUAAAAUCUCUUCUCUAAGCUCUACAUCGUUAGGUACAACCAAACGUCCACGAAACCUCAGUACCCCAUCAUCAGAAACUUGAAAAUCAGCUUUUCUUUUGUCGGUAUCCUCUUGAAGAAUUUUCUGUACGUCCGGAUUUGUCGGUUGAAGUUGCUUGAUUCUGACCUGGACAUCCGGCUCAAUUCUGAGGGUGGCCAUAAAACUUGAGAGGUGGCCUACCUCAAAUUUGAAUUCCGAAUCUCGAGCUCUCUCAAUCAAGUUCCACUCCUUAAUCAAGAUUUGCACUAUUGAAGACUUCCUACUCAAUGCAUCGGCAACCUUAUUUGCCUUUCCCGGGUGAUAUAAAAUAUCACAGUCAUAAUCCUUCAACAAUUCCAUCCAUCGACGCUGUCUCAUGUUCAACUCCUUCUGAGAGAACAAAUACUUGAGACUCUGAUGGUCUGUGAAGAUCUGAAACUUUUCCCCACACAAGUAGUGCCUCCAAAUCUUCAAUGCAAAUAUGAUGGCUGCGAGUUCUAAGUCAUGCGUCGGAUAAUUCAAUUCAUGAGGUCUCAACUGCCUGGAAGCGUAUGCAACAACUCUGCCAUGUUGCAUCAGCACGCAACCCAAUCCCCUGAAUGACGCAUCACUAUAGAUCUCGAAUCCUCCAGGACCCAAUGGAAUCGUCAGUACAGGUGUGGUAGUCAGCUUUUCCUUCAGCUCUUGGAAACUACGCUCGCACUUGUCUGACCAUACAAAUUUCUCUUCUUUCUUCAGGAGUUUUGUCAGAGGCGACGCUAUCGACGAGAACCCUUCCACAAACCGUCUGUAGUAACCUGCUAACCCCAGAAGACUUCUGAUCUCUGACACUGAUGUCGGUCUCUGCCAAUUGAUCACGGCUUCUAUCUUGCUCGGGUCGACGGAGAUUCCUUCUCCGGAAAUCACAUGACCUAAGAACGCAACACGAGUCAACCAAAACUCGCAUUUGCUAAACUUAGCAUACAGCUGGUGAGCUCUUAAGGUCUGAAGCACUAAUCUCAGAUGAUUCUCAUGCUCUUCAUUACUUCUCGAAUAGACUAAGAUAUCAUCAAUGAACACGAUCACAAAUUGAUCCAGAUAUUCUUUGAACACUCUGUUCAUCAAAUCCAUAAAUGCAGCUGGAGCAUUCGUCAAUCCGAACGGCAUCACUGUAAACUCGUAAUGACCAUACCGAGUACGAAAUGCUGACUUAGGAAUAUCCUCCUUCCUAAUUCUCAGAUGAUGAUAUCCUGUCCUCAAAUCAAUCUUCGAGAAUAUUGACGCUCCUUGCAGUUGAUCAAACAAGUCAUCUAUCCUCGGUAAUGGAUACUUGUUCUUGAUCGUUACCUGAUUGAGCUGCCGAUAGUCGAUGCACAAACGCAACGAACCAUCUUUCUUCUUAACAAAUAGAACUGGUGCUCCCCAAGGUGAUGCACUAGGACGAAUAAAUCCCUUAUCCAAUAAUUCUUGCAUCUGCACCUUCAGUUCCUUCAACUCAGAUAACGCCAUUCGGUACGGUGCCUUUGAGAUUGGUUCUGUCCCUGGUGCUAGCUCGAUUACAAAUUCAAUCUCCCUUUCUGGCGGUAAUCCUAGCAAUUCUUUUGGAAAAACAUCUGGAAACUCUUGUACUACUGCAAUAUCUUCCAUUUUCAACCCUUCAACUGUCGUAUCUACGACAGUCGCUAAAUAGCCUCGGCAACCCUCGUCUAACAAACGAGUUGCUUCCGGCGACGAGAUUAAGGAAAUCGAAGGUCCUCCUCGAUUCCCGACAAACUCGAAACUCUUACCCUCUAAUGGGUCAAACUGAAUCGCCUUGCGAUAGCAGUCCAUUUUAGCUCGUUGAUUGGUGAGCCAGUCCAUGCCAAUUAUCAAAUCAAAAUCAUACAUGGCUAGGACUAACAAGUCAAUUUUCCCCACUCGCUCACCAAUCUCUAACUUGCACCCCGAACAUCCCAAAGCAGCAAUAACUUUAUCUUUCAAGGGUGUAGAUAUGCAAAUUGCCGAUUCUAACAAUACAGGAUUCAAUCCUAGCAUCCUAACAUAUUGCUCGGCAAUGAAAGAAUGGGUUGCUCCCGAAUCAAACAAAGCAUAAGCAGGUUGGUCGUUGAGCGAGACCGUACCUGUAAUCACGCCAGGCGCAGCUUCGGCCUGACCUUGGGUAAUCGCGUACACAGUGCCCUGAGCUGGAGGUCUCUGCUGUCCUCCUUGUAGUGCAUUCUGAGGGGCAUGCCCUCCUAUCUGUCUCAUCGGUGGCGGCGGCGGCAACAGAGGUUGUCCUCUUUGCUUCUUUGGACAAUAUCUAGCCAUGUGGCCCUGCUGGCCACAUUCAAAGCAUGCACCCGUCCUGGCUGGGCACGGUCCUGCCCCAUGUCUUCUCCCACAGAAGUGACACUCCUUAGUCCUAAUAGGUUCUGACCUAUUAAAUCCACUCUUCUUGCUGGGCGGACUUUGGAAUCUAUUUCCAAACAUCGGCCUCUUUCCUUGGCGGAUGUUGUCUCUGUGCGAGCUAAACCUCGAUCCAGAUGAGGCUGCUUGCUCUGAUAUACCUCUCUCUAUCAUCUGAGCCCGACGGUAGACUUCACGAUAAUCUACCAAAUCCAAUGGUAACAGAGGUUGUUUCAGUUCUGUACGAAGACCAUUCCUAAAUCUCCGAGCUUUCUCCUCGGGGUCCUCGAUCAAUCUUGGGGCAUACUGAGAUAGUUCAGCGAACUUAACCCCAUACUGAUCGACAGUCAUCGAUCCUUGGCGAAGGCGUUGGAACUCCUCCAUCUUCAACUCUCGGGCAGCACUCGAAAAAUAAUGAUCAUUAAAAGCUCUGAGGAAGGUGUUCCACACCCUUGGUACUCCGUCCGGGAACACAGCAUCCUUGGUGGCUUUCCACCAAAUGUUGGCAUUAUCUUGAAGUUGAUACACAGCUAGUAUCACCUUUUCUUCUUCAUUACACAUCAAGACUGCGAAUGCUUUCUCCAUAUCUUGUACCCACUGUGAUGCAGCCUCAGGGUCUCCAGUACCCCUAAACCUUGGUGGAUCUAGCCUUCGAAAGUGCCCCACUAACUUACUUAUUGAUCUCUCUGCAACCACUAUUCCUGGCUGACCUUCAACGUUCAUUGCAGGAGGGACUAUGGCAGGUGCGACUGCAGGUGCAGCGGCAGGAGCGGCCUGAGCAGCGGCGGCAGCUACGGCAUUAGCGGCGGCCUGAGCGGCGGCUUCAACUGUUGCAGCUUGCUGAUCCAUUCUGGUACCCAUCGCUUCCAGAAUACGCAAGAUCCCAUCCACUCUGGGAUCAUUAGGGGCUGCUACCCCGACAUCUAUGACAGGUGGAUUCACUCCACUCGCGCUAGCUUGUGCUGGCGCUCGACCACGUCCGCCUCGGGUUCCAACACGAGUUGGAGCUCUACCCCGAAUAACGGCCCUAUUGGUCCUCUUUGCAAGAGUUCUCGGCUCCUGAUCGCUCAUGGUGUAGUCUUACUCAACUAACACCUGUUUCCAAUUCCACACCGAAUUAGAAACAGAGCGAUCCAAACAACAAACAAUUUUAGCACUCAGCUAACACAGACAUGCAUCAGCAUGAAUUUAAAGGCCUUUCCUACUAACUAUCCCAUGGUCAACGCUCCUUAUCACUCCAAUCUUCAACCUCGCUCUGAUACCACUUAAACUGGAUGUCACGCCCCGAUCCUCGGGCACGCACACAUCCUUCUACCUUGGUCGAUUUUAUAAUGCGAUAUCCCAGGACUAGUAUCGCCGACCCUUUCAUUUAUUAAGCACAUGCGGAAGCAAUUAAAAUCCCCGGACAAUAAAACGAUGGGAUAGAAAAGCAUGGCCAUAUUUUUCAUAUUGAAAUUUAUAACCACACUUUUAUACAAACCACAAACCUUUUCAUUACUACUGACAUCAAAAUGGAGAUCUCAAAAGAAGACAGAAACUUAGAUGAACUAGGCCGUACUCAAGGCCCCUCUCAUAAUUGUCUUCUUCUUCCAAAAAUCCUUUUCUUCAGAUCUCACCUCCGAGUUCUCCUUCUCGGAUUCCUCCUCCUCAGCUCUUCAGCGGGGUCCUGAAAUGGUUUCCCCAAACUGGGAUGAGACUACGUCUCAGCGAGUUCUACCCCACUAAGCCCGAUUAGAUAAACUAUUAUACUAAAGGCUGCCUAAACACGCACAGGGCAGAGGACUUACCUUGGCCUCAGAUCUCACCUGCAAGUCAGUACAAUUCAUAAUAGGCACCCAAGCAAUCAUAUGACCGAUCGGAGCAUCGAUCAAAUCGACCUAGUCGAUUACAUGCCAAACAAAUCAAUCCCCACUGUGGGAUAUUUAAAAACUAGGCCACGUGUAUUCUCCAGGAUGACCUUCCCAGUCUCCGAGUCACGUGCCUCGAACCUUGGGCCCACGUGCAUUCUCUCAGGCGACCUUUUCGCCAAAGUGAUGCAUCAAGUCACCGAGACCACGUGCCCUUUUAGAUGCCCGGGCCCACGUGCAUUCUCUUAGGUGCAUCUCACCAAAGCGAUGCAUCAAUUCGCCGAGACCACGUGCCCUUUUAGAUGCCAUUCCGGAAUGCUGGACCCACGUGCAUUCUCUAAGGUACUCGCUUACCAAAGUGACGCAUCAGAUCACCGAGCCACGUGUCCUUUUAGAUGCCAAAUCCUGUCACCGAGCCACGUGCAUUCUCCAGGACGACAUACCGAGUCUCCGAGCCACGUGCAUUCUCUCAGGCGACCUUUUCGCCAAGGUGACAUAUUCAACCACUGAACUCACGUGCAUUCUCCAGGUGACAUUCCAAUUCACCGGGCACACGUGUCCUCUUUCAAGUGGUCACCAAAUCUACUUUCAACACCGAUAACCAAUGCCCAACGAUUUCUCAAUCAAAUAAUUAAAUCAACUCCACAAAGCAUUAUAGAUACUGAAUAACAUACUUGGCCAUUCACCAAUCGAUAAUUCAAUCUCAAUCGAUUCCAAUCAAUUUAGGGUAAAUCCCCAAAAUAUCACAAUUUAUUCAAUUCCAUACAACGUGGAGCUCAAAUAAAUAAACGGGCUGCGCCACGACGAUCGGCACGAGAUUUCGGUCGUCGGCCAUCAAAAUCUUAAUUUCUGAAAAAUAAUUAAUUUAUUUAUUAAUUUCGAAAAUUAAAUAAUUAUUAUUAAAAAUUCAAUUUAGCUCAAAAUAAAGCCCGAUUACAUAAAUGGACUUCACCACGGUCAUCAGCACAAUAUUCCGGUUCCGAGCCACCUCAGUUGAAUUUUUGAAAAAUAAAUAAUUAUUUAAUUUAAUUCCGAAAAUUAAUAUUUAAAUACAAAAAUAUCCACUUAGGCCCGAAAAGCCUAAUUGGAGCCCACUAAGGGUCGGGAAAAAUCCCGAGGCACUUCCAAUAAUUAGUAGACCACGUCUACUUGCUAAUUACACAAUCAAUUUAUCUAAAUCACAUCACAAUUGACUAAUAAUUGCUAAUUUAUUCUAAUCUAACAACCUAAAUAUAAUUAAUUAAAUCUAAACCAGCUUAAAGCAUAAUUAGCCACUAAUCCUGGAUUAGUGAGAUUACUCACCAAAUCGCUCGCAAAUCGGAUCAAUCCGACGGCGGCGACGCGAGGAACGAUUGUUCCCAAAGCACGGCUCGGGUUCGGGGCCGGGAAACGGUCCAAAAGCGGGCCCGAAGAUGCUGAAACCCACUACGUGGGUCUGCUGGACGGAGCCGAUCGGGCCUGCUCCGGCGGCUAGGGCGGCGAGGGAAAGCCGGCGGAGGGCGAGGGGGUUGCGGGGGAGGUCCGGCGGGGUUGGCGGUGGCCGGAGGUGGCCGGAGGUGGCCGGAGAUGGGCUGGUCGGAGCUGGAACAGAAGCGAACAGCAGCUGGGUCCGCUCGGGGGAAGCGCUGCAGCGAGCGACGGACGGCGGGAAGGCGGGCGCACGGGCGGGCGGCUGUCGCG